UACGGAGGGUGCGAGCGUUAAUCGGAAUUACUGGGCGUAAAGGGUGCGUAGGUGGUUUGAUAAGUUAUCUGUAAAAGCCCUGGGCUCAACCUAGGAAUGCCAGAUAAAACUGUUAGACUCGAGUAUGGGAGAGGGUAGUGGAAUUUCCGGUGUAGCGGUGAAAUGCGUAGAGAUCGGAAGGAACACCAGUGGCGAAGGCGGCUACCUGGCCUGAUACUGACACUGAGGCACGAAAGCGUGGGGAGCAAACAGGAUUAGAUA
rnacentral:rRNA from 1 species